AUUGAACGCUGGCAGCAGGCUUAACACAUGCAAGUCGAGCGGAGAUGAGGUGCUUGCACCUUAUCUUAGCGGCGGACGGGUGAGUAAUGCUUAGGAAUCUGCCUAUUAGUGGGGGACAACAUUCCGAAAGGAAUGCUAAUACCGCAUACGUCCUACGGGAGAAAGCAGGGGAUCUUCGGACCUUGCGCUAAUAGAUGAGCCUAAGUCGGAUUAGCUAGUUGGCGGGGUAAAGGCCUACCAAGGCGACGAUCUGUAGCGGGUCUGAGAGGAUGAUCCGCCACACUGGGACUGAGACACGGCCCAGACUCCUACGGGAGGCAGCAGUGGGGAAUAUUGGUCAAUGGGGGGAACCCCGAUCCAGCCAUGCCGCGUGUGUGAAGAAGGCCUUAUGGUUGUAAAGCACUUUAAGCGAGGAGGAGGCUACUGAGACUAAUACUCUUGGAUAGUGGACGUUACUCGCAGAAUAAGCACCGGCUAACCCUGUGCCAGCCGCCGCGGUAAAAC
rnacentral:rRNA from 1 species